rnacentral:rRNA from 1 species
GACGAACGCUGGCGGCGUGCUUGACACAUGCAAGUCGAACGGAAAGGCCUGCUUUCCCUUGUGGAUUGCGGGUACUCGAGUGGCGAACGGGUGAGUAACACGUGAGUGAUCUGCCCCCAACUUGGGUAUAAGCCUGGGAAACUGGGUCUAAUUCCCGAUAGGACUGCAGGGUGGUGCCUGUGGUGGAAAACGAUUUUCUAGUGGUUGGGGAUGAGCUCGCGGCCUAUCAGCUUGUUGGUGGGGUAAUGGCCUACCAAGGCGGCGACGGGUAGCCGGCCUGAGAGGGUGGACGGCCACAUUUGGACUGAGAUACGGCCCCGACUCCUACGGGAGGCAGCAGUGGGGAAUAUUGCACCAUGGGCGGAAGCCUGAUGCAGCGACGCCGCGUGGGGGAUUACGGCCUUCGGGUUGUAAACUCCUUUCGACCGCGAGGAAGCCACCUGGUUGGAAGGGUGGUGACGGUAGUGGUAGAAGAAGCACCGGCUAACUACGUG